AUCUAUUAAUAUAUGCAUUCAUUAGCUAUUCAGGAACUGUAUCUAUCUAAUUCCUGCUUGUCCUUUUUAUUCUUUUUAUUUUCAGGUGGCCUUUUAGGGCCUCAUAAUUGGGAAUGUAUUGACUUGAGCAGGAAGAUUACUGAGUUUAUUUAUGGGACAGGUAGCUGUCCUGCCCCAAGUAAUAUAAAUGAUGAAUUAGAAUGGAAGAGAUGGAAGGUAAUGUUUUCAGACAUAAUUUAAUUGAAAUUUUUGCUGAAUAAGAUUGUGUUUAAAUGCUUUAUCAUUGCUUGUGUGUAAAAAGAAUGAUAUAACUUUAAAUGAAGCUUUAUAUUUAUACACAGGGAAUUGCUGGUCGGGCUCCCAUGAACCCCUAGCUGACACAACAGGAUGCUGGGCGAACUCACCAGAGCCUUCGACGACGUGGAAGGUACAGUCUCUGCAGAGUGUGUAGACUCUGAAUAAAUUGGCUUGGGUGCAGAACAGGCCAUAGGGGAGGCCUCAGUCUUUGCAGGUGCCAAGAAGGGGCCACACGAGUCUUUAUUAGUCCCGGAGGGAACAAUCUCCUUUCUCUGAGGGCCUAAGUCACAGUUCGUGACGUGGGGUUGGUAUCAACAACACUCCCAGUAUCAGCAAUAGCUGGACAUAAAAUGUAAGUUGUUGCUGGCUCGGAAACUUUAACCUUUAACUUGAACCCAGAUUUGGCCAUGCUACAUGCAGUCCUGUUCCCAUUGUUAAACACCUCUGGACACAUAGCUACACUUCUUUUGGUUCUCGAGAGAGCUGGUGGCGAGAAGCUGUCAUUACUCACCCCCGCUGUUUGAUCCAGCAGCGCAGUGCAGAGGCCAGAAACAUGGCUGAGGAAGCAUAGUGCAAACAAAUCCCACAGAGAAACACUCAGCCAUGAGGGAGAUCACAACGCAGGACAGAGGGAGACGCAGACAUAAAUGACCACAAGGGCAAAUGAGGGAACAAACCAUUGGAGGGAACACAACUGAACAUGAUCUAACUAAUCAGACAGGUGGAAACACUGUCACAAUAAAACAGGAAACACUGAGACGUCGACUGACACGAGCUUGACAACAGGACAUGCAACAGACAUGAAAACUUAAAACAGACUGGGGAGACUAGAUGGAAAAAAAGGAGAGAAACACUGGAACAGGUAAGGGAGACAAAACAGAGACACCUCUAAGACUGCAAGGGAGAAAGAAACAGAGAGGGCGAGAAAACACAAGACAGCAAGAGGGACGAGAGAGGGCUGAUGGGCUGGGGAAACAUGGAUAAACAUGCCAGACAGGGGAGACAUGGAAUGAACACAAGGAGGGGGAACAUGGCAACAGAAAAGGAAAACAAGACACAAGGACACACAUAAACAAAAAACACACAGAAGACAAAGACACAAGGGCAACCUAAAUAGACAAGAAACUAAAACACAGAAUAAACUCAAUAAACUCAACAUUACUUAAUAAACCUGAAUGAAGACCAACCAACCAGAAUACAAAAUUGACACCAAAACACAAGAACUCAAAAACACUGGGUCAAAUAACCCAGAACCAUGACAGUUACACAUUUUAACACAUUUUUCAGGUCAACAUUCUUGAAUCAGUAACAUUCAUAUGUCCACCUUCAGUCACCUGGACUAUGUGUUAAUCUCCACUCUUUGUUUUCCCUUCUUUUACAUCUACACUAUCUACGCCUCC
ensembl:lncRNA